UUCUAAGGGCGGUGAAGUCAGACCGGAAGGACUGGUGGAGCGCUUAGAAGUGAGAAUGCCGGUAUGAGUAGCGAAAGAAGGGUGAGAAUCCCUUCCACCGAAUAUCUAAGGUUUCCUGAGGAAGGCUCGUCCGCUCAGGGUUAGUCGGGACCUAAGCCGAGGCCGAUAGGCGUAGGCGAUGGACAACAGGUAGAGAUUCCUGUACCAGUGCUAAUUGUUUAACCGAUGGGGUGACACAGAAGGAUAGGGAAUCGCACGAAUGGAAAUGUGCGUCCAAGCAGUGAGUGUGAGAAGUAGGCAAAUCCGCUUCUCGCGAAGCAUGAGCUGUGAUGGGGAAGGAAAUUAAGUACGGAAGUUCCUGAUUUCACGCUGUCAAGAAAAGCCUCUAGGAAGAGUAGUACUGCCCGUACCGCAAACCGACACAGGUAGAUGAGGAGAGAAUCCUAAGGUGAGCGAGAGAACUCUCGUUAAGGAACUCGGCAAAAUGACCCCGUAACUUCGGGAGAAGGGGUGCUCUAUUAGGGUGCAAGCCCGAGAGAGCCGCAGUGAAUAGGCCCAGGCGACUGUUUAGCAAAAACACAGGUCUCUGCAAAACCGUAAGGUGACGUAUAGGGGCUGACGCCUGCCCGGUGCUGGAAGGUUAAGAGGAGUGCUUAGCUUCGGCGAAGGUACGAAUUGAAGCCCCAGUAAACGGCGGCCGUAACUAUAACGGUCCUAAGGUAGCGAAAUUCCUUGUCGGGUAAGUUCCGACCCGCACGAAAGGCGCAACGAUCUGGGCACUGUCUCAACGAGAGACUCGGUGAAAUUAUAGUACCUGUGAAGAUGCAGGUUACCCGCGACAGGACGGAAAGACCCCGUGGAGCUUUACUGCAACCUGAUAUGGAAUGUUUGUACCGCUUGUACAGGAUAGGUAGGAGCCGAAGAGACGUGUGCGCUAGCAUACGAGGAGGCAAUGGUGGGAUACUACCCUGGCUGUAUGACCAUUCUAACCCGCCACGCUUAGCGCGUGGGGAGACAGUGUCAGGUGGGCAGUUUGACUGGGGCGGUCGCCUCCUAAAGAGUAACGGAGGCGCCCAAAGGUUCCCUC
rnacentral:rRNA from 1 species